AUUGAACGCUGGCGGCAUGCUUUACACAUGCAAGUCGAACGGUAACAGGCCGCAAGGUGCUGACGAGUGGCGGACGGGCGAGUAAUUCAUCGGAACGUGCCCAGUCGUGGGGUAUAACUAGUCGAAAGAGUAGCUAAUACCGCAUACGAUCUAUGCAUGACAGCGGGGGACCGUAAGGCCUCGCGCGAUCGGAGCGGCCGAUGUCCGAUUAGGUAGUUGGUGGGGUAAAGGCUCACCAAGCCAACGAUCUGUAGCUGGUCUGAGAGGACGACCAGCCACACUGGAACUGAGACACGGCCCAGACUCCUACGGGAGGCAGCAGUGGGGAAUUUUGGACAAUGGGCGCAAGCCUGAUCCAGCAAUGCCGCGUGCAGGAAGAAGGCCUUCGGGUUGUAAACUGCUUUUGUAGGGAAGGAAACGGCUCUGGUUAAUACCCGGGGCUAAUGACGGUACCGUAAGAAGAAGCACCGGCUAACUACGUG
rnacentral:rRNA from 1 species